rnacentral:rRNA from 1 species
AUACGGAGGAUGCGAGCGUUAUCCGGAUUUAUUGGGUUUAAAGGGAGCGUAGGUGGGAUAUUAAGUCAGCUGUGAAAGUUUGGGGCUCAACCUUAACAUUGCAGUUGAUACUGGUUUCCUUGAGUACGGUACAGGUGGGCGGAAUUCGUGGUGUAGCGGUGAAAUGCUUAGAUAUCACGAAGAACUCCGAUCGCGAAGGCAGCUCACCGGGCCGGAACUGACACUGAUGCUCGAAAGUGCGGGUAUCAAACAGGAUUAGAUACCCUGGUAGUCCGCACAGUAAACGAUGAAUACUCGCUGUUUGCGAUACACUGUAAGCGGCCAAGCGAAAGCGUUAAGUAUUCCACCUGGGGAGUACGCCGGCAACGGUGAAACUCAAAUGAAUUGGCGGGG